UUCCAGCUGGUUUUGAGGAAGUGAGCUGCCAUGUACUAGGCCACGUGGCAAGGGCCUGGUUGGGGACCUCCAGGGGUUGAGAGCAUCCUCUGGACAACAUGGAAAAAGAAAAUGAAAAUGGUGACCUCAGCCCUAUAGCUAGAAGGAAUUGAAUCCUGUCAACAACGAUACUCAUCACUCACUGCAGAUGUUACUUUAAGACAUUCUGGAGCAGCGUCAUGUGCAGGAGAAAAUAGUAUCAUCUCAGCCUUCUAUGAAAUCAAGGCAAUAUUCAUGUGAAAGUAUAUUCCAAACCCAGAACCUGAGCACAGAUUGGGACUGAGAAACACUUGUCUAGAUUGUCAGGCAAUCUGUAACAUCAGCAGUGGAUGGAAAGAAGGAGAAAGAUGAGUUUUAUGGACGCUAACCCAUCUAUAUGGCUUUGGAAAAUAAAGUACUGCUGUUUUUUUU
rnacentral:lncRNA from 1 species